UGCGUCCUUUUGACUUACUCCCACUCCUCACUCUCUUUUUUCAUGUUAUUUUUAUUAAUAGAAUUUUUAUUUUUGGAAUUAUUUUAGAUUUACAGAAAAAACUGCAGACAGUACACAGAGUUUCUAUAUAUUCUUCACCCAGCUUCCCCCAAUACUAUCAUCUUACAUAGCCAUGAUAUAUAUGUCAAAACUAAGAAACCAACAUUGAUGUUGGGCGCCUGGGUGGCGCAGUCGGUU